CAGCCGCCGCGGGAACACCAGCACCUCGAGUGGUCAGGAGGUUUAUUGGGCCUAAAGCAUCCGUAGCCGGUUGCAUAAGUUUUCGGUUAAAUCUAUACGCUUAACGUAUAGGCCGCCGAAAAUACUGUGCAGCUAGGGAGUGGGAGAGGUACACGGUACUCGAUAGGAAGGGGUAAAAUCCUUUGAUCUAUUGAUGACCACCUGUGGCGAAGGCGGUGUACCAGAACACGUUCGACGGUGAGGGAUGAAAGCUGGGGGAGCAAACCGGAUUAGAUACCCCUGUAGUCCCUGUCUCUUAUAC
rnacentral:rRNA from 1 species